rfam:Nematostella vectensis strain CH2 x CH6 NEMVEscaffold_330_Cont24019, whole genome shotgun sequence.
GGCUCUUUGGUCUAGUGGUAUGAUUCUCGCUUUGGGUGCGAGAGGCCAUGGGUUCGAUUCCCGUCUGAGCCC